GAUGAACGCUGGCGGCGUGCCUAACACAUGCAAGUCGAACGUGAGAGGGUAGCAAUAUCCUUGAAAGUGGCGCACGGGUGAGUAAUACGUAGGUGACCUGCCCUGGAGUGGGGGAUAACAGCUAGAAAUGGCUGCUAAUACCGCAUACUACCGAACUGCUGGGAAGCGGAUUGGUAAAAACUCUGGUGCUUCAGGAGGGGCCUGCGGCCGAUUAGCUAGUUGGCGGGGUAAGAGCCCACCAAGGCAUUGAUCGGUAGCUGGUCUGAGAGGACGAUCAGCCACACGGGAACUGAGACACGGUCCCGACUCCUACGGGGGGCAGCAGUGAGGAAUAUUGGGCAAUGGGCGCAAGCCUGACCCAGCAACGCCGCGUGGAGGAAGACGGCCUUCGGGUUGUAAACUCCUUUUACGGGGGAAGAGGAAGGACGGUACCCCGAGAAUAAGUCACGGCUAACUACGUGCCAGCCGCCGCUGUAACAC
rnacentral:rRNA from 1 species